AAGCAAGAUUUAGACUACAAUAUAGCAGUUAACUGCUGUGUUGUCUUCCCCCUGCUCAAAAAAAGUUGUUUCUUAACUAUACCUGUCUGCUAUUCUCCUGUAGCAGCCUGGGAUGCUUGGUCUCACACAU
rnacentral:snoRNA from 1 species